rnacentral:lncRNA from 1 species
CGCAUCGAGCCAGUGGUGCUGCAAUCCAGAUCACCCGCCCAUAGACAGCACCAUUUCUCUGGAAAAUGGCACCACCACUCUACUCCUUCCCCGAUUCAGUAUUCUGGUGCUUUUUGUGUGCUUUAAUAAAGAAGAAAUGAAACCCCAAACUGCGUCUCAAGUACAGAAGGUUCACCUGCUCUGGCUGCUGAGAGAUGUUUAUUGACAACACCUUCUGGGCUGUCCAGGCAGAAGAUUCAAGGAGAAAGCACCUCAGGAUCCAGAUCAACUACCGAAAAUCAAAUUGUGGCCCAAUUAUCAUCAAAAAAAUUGGGUGAGGUCAACAGCCCCACCCGAAGGGUAUUUUUCCUUGUUGCAGCAGUUCAGGACAUAAUUUGCUGCCUACCAUAACCAUAAUGUUUUUUAAAUUGAGUUCCUUCUGAAUGUAAUUUACUGCUAUGGUUUACUGAGCUUAUUUUAAC